rnacentral:piRNA from 1 species
UGGGAAGAAUGUUCUGGGUGGAGGG